rnacentral:rRNA from 1 species
GACGAACGCUGGCGGCGUGCUUAACACAUGCAAGUCGAACGGAAAGGCCCUGCUUUUGUGGGGUGCUCGAGUGGCGAACGGGUGAGUAACACGUGAGUAACCUGCCCUUGACUUUGGGAUAACUUCAGGAAACUGGGGCUAAUACCGGAUAGGAGCUCCUGCUGCAUGGUGGGGGUUGGAAAGUUUCGGCGGUUUGGGAUGGACUCGCGGCUUAUCAGCUUGUUGGUGGGGUAGGGGCUUACCAAGGCUUUGACGGGUAGCCGGCCUUGGAGGGUGACCGGCCACAUUGGGCCUGCGAUACGGCCCAGUCUCCUACGGGAGGCAGCAGUCGGGAGUAUUGCACAGUGGGCCGAAGCCUGAUGCAGCAGCGCCGCGUGCGUGAUGACGGCCUUCUGGUUGUAAACCUCUUUCGCCUGUGACGAAGCGUGAGUGACGGUAAUGGGUAAAGAAGCACCGGCUAACUACGUG